GUAGGGUGCGAGCGUUAAUCGGAAUUACUGGGCGUAGAGCGUGCGCAGGCGGUCUGUUAAGACAGAUGUGAAAUCCCCGGGCUCAACCUGGGAACUGCAUUCGUGACUGGCAGGCUAGAGUAUGGCAGAGGGGGGUAGAAUUCCACGUGUAGCAGUGAAAUGCGUAGAGAUGUGGAGGAAUACCGAUGGCGAAGGCAGCCCCCUGGGCCAACACUGACGCUCAUGCACGAAAGCGUGGGGAGCAAACAGGAUUAGAUACCCUGGUAGUCCCACGCCCUAAACGAUGUCAACUAGUUGUUGGGGGUUCAUUUCCUUAGUAACGUAGCUAACGCGUGAAGUUGACCGCCUGGGAGUACGGUCGCAAGAUUA
rnacentral:rRNA from 1 species